UGCGGUAUCCUGACCGUGCUAAGGUAGCAUAAUAACUUGUCUAAUAAUUAUAGUCUAGAAUGAAUGGGUAAACGAAUGUGAAACUGUCUCAAUUAGAAACCUAAAAAUUAAUCUAUGGAUGAAAAAGCCCAUAUACUAAUAAAGGACAAGAAGACCCUAUAGAGCUAUGAUCCACAACUAUAUAAUAAAUAGAACAGAUCUUGGAUGGGGCGUCCGGAAGUAACCCAAUAAUAAACACUUCCUAUAAUACAGAUAAAUCCAUCACACACAUAACCUCACAACUGCUGAAUUUAAUCAAAGUUACCUUAGGGAUAACAGGCUAAUGCUUCCCAAGAGCCCAUAUCUACAGAAGCGCUUGGCACCUCGAUGUUGGCUUAGGAACA
rnacentral:rRNA from 1 species